rnacentral:rRNA from 1 species
AGCAGCCGCGGUAAUUCCAGCUCCAAUAGCGUAUAUUAAAGUUGUUGCAGUUAAAAAGCUCGUAGUUGAAUUUCGGGACUAAUAUGUCGGUCGUACUUUGUACGUACUAGCAUUAUUGGUUUCUCCCUUCUGACGAACCACGAUGUCAUUAAUUUGGUGUCAUGGGAAAUCAGGACUGUUACUUUGAAAAAAUUAGAGUGUUUAAAGCAAGCUCGCGCUUGAAUACAUUAGCAUGGAAUAAUGAAAUAGGACGUUUGAUUCUAUUUUGUUGGUUUCUAGGAUCGACGUAAUGAUUAAUAGGGAUAGUUGGGGGCAUUAGUAUUCAAUUGUCAGAGGUGAAAUUCUUGGAUUUAUUGAAGACUAACUACUGCGAAAGCAUUUGCCAAGGAUGUUUUCAUUAAUCAAGAACGAAAGUUAGGGGAUCGAAGACGAUCAGAUACCGUCGUAGUCUUAACCACAAACUAUGCCGACUGGGGAUCGGAUGAUGUUAAUUUUUAAUGACUCAUUCGGCGCCUUACGG